rnacentral:rRNA from 1 species
UACGGAGGAUGCGAGCGUUAUCCGGAUUUAUUGGGUUUAAAGGGUGCGUAGGCGGGAUGCCAAGUCAGCGGUAAAAAUGCGGUGCUCAACGCCGUCGAGCCGUUGAAACUGGCGUUCUUGAGUGGGCGAGAAGUAUGCGGAAUGCGUGGUGUAGCGGUGAAAUGCAUAGAUAUCACGCAGAACUCCGAUUGCGAAGGCAGCAUACCGGCGCCCUACUGACGCCGAAGCACGAAAGCGUGGGUAUCGAACAGG